rnacentral:rRNA from 1 species
UACAGAGGGUGCAAGCGUUGUUCGGAAUUAUUGGGCGUAAAGCGCGUGUAGGCGGCUUUGCAAGUCGGGUGUGAAAGCCCUCAGCUCAACUGAGGAAGUGCGCCCGAAACUGCAGAGCUUGAGUGCCGGAGAGGGUGGUGGAAUUCCCGGUGUAGUGGUGAAAUUCGUAGAUAUCAGGAGGAACACCGGUGGCGAAGGCGGCCACCUGGACGACAACUGACGCUGAGACGCGAAAGCGUGGGGAGCAAACAGG